GGCAGAGAGAGCUCGGCUCCCGUCGGUCCGAUUUCGGACUGACGAGGAAAGUCCCCCCACCGUCCGGACGGGUGACCGGGCGCAAGCCCGGAGUCGGAGACGGCUGGCUCUGGAACAGAGACGAGACCCCUCGGCCCGACCGAUGAGACGUGAGCGGCGGAGCGAUCCGCCGCCGGCACGAUCGGGAUACCCCCGAUCGCGCGCGAACCGACCCGCGAGGGGAGGGAGCUAACCCGUCGAGGGAACGCAGUCGCGAGGUGAUCACCUCGCGUUGUGUGCGCGGCCUCGCCGCGCUGACGGCCGAGAACGGAUGGAACGGCGAAUCCUCACCGGUGCAAGUCCGCGCCGCCAAGGUAGUCCGGACAGGGCGCGGCCGCUUAGCCGAAUGCCGAGACGAACAGAAGGGGGCUUACUCCUCUCAGCC
rnacentral:RNase_P_RNA from 1 species